rnacentral:rRNA from 1 species
ACGGGUGAGUAACGCGUAGGUAACCUGCCUGGUAGCGGGGGAUAACUAUUGGAAACGAUAGCUAAUACCGCAUAACAGUAGAUGUUGCAUGACAUUUGCUUAAAAGGUGCAAUUGCAUCACUACCAGAUGGACCUGCGUUGUAUUAGCUAGUUGGUGGGGUAACGGCUCACCAAGGCGACGAUCAGUAGCGGGUCUGAGAGGAUGAUCCGCCACACUGGGACUGAGACACGGCCCAGACUCCUACGGGAGGCAGCAGUGGGGAAUUUUGGACAAUGGGCGCAAGCCUGAUCCAGCCAUGCCGCGUGUCUGAAGAAGGCCUUCGGGUUGUAAAGGACUUUUGUUAGGGAAGAAAAGGAUAGUGUUAAUACCAUUAUCUGCUGACGGUACCUAAAGAAUAAGCACCGGCUAACUACGUGCCAGCAGCCGCGGUAAUACGUAGGGUGCGAGCGUUAAUCGGAAUUACUGGGCGUAAAGCGAGCGCAGACGGUUUAUUAAGCAAGAUGUGAAAUCCCCGAGCUUAACUUGGGAACUGCGUUUUGAACUGGUAAGCUAGAGUAUGUCAGAGGGGGGUAGAAUUCCACGUGUAGCAGUGAAAUGCGUAGAGAUGUGGAGGAAUACCGAUGGCGAAGGCAGCCCCCUGGGAUAAUACUGACGUUCAUGCUCGAAAGCGUGGGUAGCAAACAGGAUUAGAUACCCUGGUAGUCCACGCCCUAAAC